GCCGCGUGGAGGAUGACACCCCUAUGGGGCGUAAACUCCUUUUAUACGGAAAGAAAACUUUCUUCGAGAGAGCGUGACGGUACCGUAUGAAUAAGCACCGGCUAACUCCGUGCCAGCAGCCGCGGUAAUACGGAGGGUGCAAGCGUUGUCCGGAUUCACUGGGUGUAAAGGGUGUGUAGGCGGGACAGUGUGUCAGAGGUGAACACGCCCACGGCUUAACCGUGGUAAUUGCCUUUGAAACUGCUGUUCUUGANUCUCGGAGAGGUCGCUGGAAUUCGUGGUGUAGUGGUGAAAUACGUAGAUAUCACGAGGAACACCAGAGGCGUAGGCGGGCGACUGGACGGAGAACUGACGCUGAGGCACGAUUAGCGUGGGGAGCGAACUAGGAUUAGAUACCCUGGUAGUCCACGCCGUAUACGAUGGAUGCUCGGUGUUCGGCCCUCAUUGUGGGGUCGGCGCCCAACGCUAACGCGUUAAGCAUCCCGCCUGGGGAGUACGCUCGCAAGAGUGAAACUCAUAUGGAAUUGACGGGGGGCCCGCACAACCGGUGGAGCAUGUGGCUUAAUUCGAUGCAACGCGAAGAACCUUACCCAGGCUCGAACAUGGCCGGACAACCCUUGAAAGGGGGUCUUCUUCGGACCGGUCGUGAGGUGCUGCAUGGCGUCGUCAGCUCGUGUCGUGAGAUGUUGGGUUAAGUCCCGCAACGAGCGCAACCCCUGUCACUAGUUACCAGCGGAUAAUGCCGGGGACUUUAGUGAAACCGCCUGCGCAAGCAGUGAGGAAGGUGGGGACGACGUCAAGUCAUCAUGGCCCUUACGCCUGGGGCUGCACACGUGCUACAAUGGGUGAUACAACGGGCAGCCACCUCGUGAGAGGGAGCGAAUCCUCAAAAUCACUCCAAGUUCGGAUUGAAGUCUGCAACUCGACUUCAUGAAGCCGGAAUCGCUAGUAAUCGCGUAUCAGCAACGACGCGGUGAAUACGUUCCCGGGCCUUGUACACACCGCCCGUCAAGCCAUGGAAGUUUAGGGUACCCGAAGUCCGUGACCCAACCUCGUGAGGGAGCGGCCGAAGGUAAACUAAGUGACUGGGGCUAAGUCGUAACAAGGUAGCC
rnacentral:rRNA from 1 species